ACUCCGUUUCAAAGGCUGCGCGGGCAAGCCUACAAAGCCAGCCUCUUCUGCGGUGCUUUUACGCAUUUCUAUUUCUUUGUCAAGUGCGAGGGAAACAGGGCUCAACAUAGACCGGGUGCGUAGAGGGGUGUGGAGAAUUGCUAAGGAUAGAACGGAAACGCAAGGCUUUUCUACAAAGUCGAGAUCUGUAGACUUACAGGUUAUUUAAAAGGAAGAGUCACCUCAAGUCUCCACAUCCUGCCAACCCGGGGAGGCAAACAAGAGCUGUGUUCUGCAGGCUCGGCGCCAACGCAACUCUCCCCACACAGGGUCCGCAAUGGGAGGGUGGCCUAGAAAGACACCACACACACACACACACACACACACACACACACACACUAGCCUGCCUCACCUUCUCGAUCGUCUGGUCUACCGCCUUCUGAAAGACUCGAGCCACUAGCAGCGUGACGCUGGUCACCAGCAGCAGCAGAGACAGCGUCCCCGCCGUGUAGAAGCAGCAUCUGCCCAUACUGCGCGCAGCUCACCGGCCAGGCCUGGGACCGAACGGCGAGCUGGAACAAGCCUCCGCCAAGGCCGAGCAGCAGCCGCCCAAAGCCCGGGGCCCCUGCGGCUCCCGCACCUUCUCCGUGCGUGUUCAGCCGCUGCCCGCGCAGUGCGCACAGCCCUGGAGUAGAUACCGGAAUGAGCAGCAGAGCCGGUGCGAUCGCGAGUGCCGGGGCCGCCUGGCUUUCGUUUUCUCCGGCUGCUGCAGCCAGGGAGGUGCAGGGAGCGCGCAGAGCGGUGACGCGGGCUGGUGGGGCUCGCCAGCAAGCCGCGGCGGCGGUGAUGGUGACGGCUGGCGACUGCGCCGGGAAGCGGGAGGGGCCGGGCGGAGGCCUUCAGUCAUGUGCCCUGCAGCGGCCCCUGCGAUUCGGCGGGGUUGCGCCUGCAUCCUCUCCCUGCAGGCGGCGCGGUCAUCCAGGGAACUGAAAUCGCCCUUCCCCAUUCGCUCUGCCGCUUUCUUUCUCCUUCAGAUCUCUGCUGAGGGCCCACGGUGGGCCAAGCAUGGGGAACCCCGGCUGGACGCGCGGUUUCCCUUACUCCAGAGGAUCUCCCGAGUUCCUUGGAAGAUUUAAGUACAAUGUAACUAAUGCUUUUACAAGGUGCCUGCUGACUUGUGCCUGAUUUGUACCUGCAGAGCCUUGUUGGGUUGAACUGGGUCUUCAGGAAUAAGUCAGAGUGUGUCCUCAAGAAAGUGAGGAGGAGGCGUUUGCCUCCGCAGACUGAAGGCAAGGGAGUUAACUGUUGAGUAGUCUAGGCCUUAUGCUGUAGGGUUUGUGGUGCCAAGCCCUCGGAGAUCAGAUUUUGAAAGGCUCUGUGUCCUGAUAAAGGGCGUUAACAGAGAAGCAAGUCAAGUAGAGCAGGUGUUUGUUGUCUAUUUUGUCAUCAUCAGUUGAAUAAGGGUUAGUUCCGUGACUGGCACACACAUACAGACACACAAACACGCGGCAGCCCUAUUAUGAAGCAGAAAGAAGUGCUGUACAGGUUGUAAGAGGAACUGGAGUUGGGAUGUGGGGGGUGGGGUGUGAUUUCGUUAAUGGGAAAAGGCAAGUAGGGAAGCUGGGUGCAAAGUAAUACCUACAAGUUCAGCAAAGCCGUGGGGAGAGAGUAGUCCUUGAGGCAAACUGGCAUGUCCCCAAAUUCUGACAUAUCUCAGAUGUAGACCUGCCUUAAAUAUCCCUGUUGUGCUUAAUCAGCGGACUGGGAGCAACCUUGAGAAGUUAGUCUUUACCAGCUUGGGAUAGAUUUCAGUCGUGUUCAACAGCUGAGAGGCUCAUCAGUCACUAAUGCCAUCUGCAGGGGAAGAUCUGAACUGACAUUUUCUUGGCCAGGCCAGUGUCCUUAUCAUUAAGGAGUCAGCCCACCAGGAUGGAAAACACUCAAAUAAUCGUGACACUGGAGGCAGCCUGUACCAUAGAGGGAGACCUUGUCUCAAAAGAGGAAAGAAAACAAGCAAAAUAGAAGCACACAAAAGAAGCUCUGUCUUAAAAUUG
rnacentral:lncRNA from 1 species